rnacentral:rRNA from 1 species
AUUGAACGCUGGCGGCAGGCUUAACACAUGCAAGUCGAACGAUGAUUAUCUAGCUUGCUAGAUAUGAUUAGUGGCGGACGGGUGAGUAACAUUUAGGAAUCUGCCUAGUAGUGGGGGAUAGCUCGGGGAAACUCGAAUUAAUACCGCAUACGACCUACGGGUGAAAGGGGGCGCAAGCUCUUGCUAUUAGAUGAGCCUAAAUCAGAUUAGCUAGUUGGUGGGGUAAAGGCCCACCAAGGCGACGAUCUGUAACUGGUCUGAGAGGAUGAUCAGUCACACCGGAACUGAGACACGGUCCGGACUCCUACGGGAGGCAGCAGUGGGGAAUAUUGGACAAUGGGGGCAACCCUGAUCCAGCCAUGCCGCGUGUGUGAAGAAGGCCUUUUGGUUGUAAAGCACUUUAAGCAGGGAGGAGAGGCUAAUGGUUAAUACCCAUUAGAUUAGACGUUACCUGCAGAAUAAGCACCGGCUAACUCUGUGCCAGCAGCCGCGGUAAUACAGAGGGUGCGAGCGUUAAUCGGAAUUACUGGGCGUAAAGCGAGUGUAGGUGGCUCAUUAAAUCACAUGUGAAAUCCCCGGGCUUAACCUGGGAACUGCAUGUGAUACUGGUGGUGCUAGAAUAUGUGAGAGGGAAGUAGAAUUCCAGGUGUAGCGGUGAAAUGCGUAGAGAUCUGGAGGAAUACCGAUGGCGAAGGCAGCUUCCUGGCAUAAUAUUGACACUGAGAUUCGAAAGCGUGGGUAGCAAACAGGAUUAGAUACCCUGGUAGUCCACGCCGUAAACGAUGUCUACUAGCCGUUGGGGUCCUUGAGACUUUAGUGGCGCAGUUAACGCGAUAAGUAGACCGCCUGGGGAGUACGGCCGCAAGGUUAAAACUCAAAUGAAUUGACGGGGGCCCGCACAAGCGGUGGAGCAUGUGGUUUAAUUCGAUGCAACGCGAAGAACCUUACCUGGUCUUGACAUAGUGAGAAUCCUGCAGAGAUGCGGGAGUGCCUUCGGGAAUUCACAUACAGGUGCUGCAUGGCUGUCGUCAGCUCGUGUCGUGAGAUGUUGGGUUAAGUCCCGCAACGAGCGCAACCCUUUUCCUUAUUUGCCAGCGGGUUAAGCCGGGAACUUUAAGGAUACUGCCAGUGACAAACUGGAGGAAGGCGGGGACGACGUCAAGUCAUCAUGGCCCUUACGACCAGGGCUACACACGUGCUACAAUGGUAGGUACAGAGGGUUGCUACACAGCGAUGUGAUGCUAAUCUCAAAAAGCCUGUCGUAGUCCGGAUUGGAGUCUGCAACUCGACUCCAUGAAGUCGGAAUCGCUAGUAAUCGCAGAUCAGAAUGCUGCGGUGAAUACGUUCCCGGGCCU